GACGAACGCUGGCGGCGUGCCUAAUACAUGCAAGUCGAACGAGAGCGACCGGUGCUUGCACUGGUCAAUCUAGUGGCGAACGGGUGAGUAACACGUGGGUAACCUGCCCAUCAGAGGGGGAUAACUUCGGGAAACGGUUGCUAAAACCGCAUAGUUUUUGGACCCGCAGGGUUGAAGGGGGAAAGAAGGGCAAGCUUUUGCUGAUGGAUGGACCCGCGGUGCAUUAGCUAGUUGGUGAGGUAACGGCUCACCAAGGCCGUGAUGCAUAGCCGACCUGAGAGGGUGAUCGGCCACAUUGGGACUGAGACACGGCCCAAACUCCUACGGGAGGCAGCAGUAGGGAAUCUUCCGCAAUGGACGCAAGUCUGACGGAGCAACGCCGCGUGAGUGAAGAAGGUUUUCGGAUCGUAAAACUCUGUUGUUAGAGAAGAACAAGUGCUAGAGUAACUGUUAGCGACUUGACGGUAUCUAACCAGAGAGCCACGGCUAACUACGUG
rnacentral:rRNA from 1 species